AUUUGAAUCAGUCCUAAUGAGAUGGAUGAAACUGGAGCCCCUUAUACAGAGUGAAAAGGCAGGUGGACCUGGGUGGAGAUCUACAAAGGCUUCAUAGGGUCCUGCUUGAUUACAGUUCCUUCAGGAGUCAUCCUCCCUACUUGGGGAAUGGACACAGAGUUGGAAAUCAUCUCGAGUUUCAAGCUUAGCAUCAAUAGUCUGUAUUAAGACAAUAUUAUUUCUCUCUUUGAUUGCCUUGUCAUAAGCCCUGGACAGACAUUUGAAAAUUAUGAGACAUAUUACCAUGAGGAUAAUGAUUAAAGUACACAUUUGUCAUAUUUUUCAAAAGAGUCCUCCUAGUUUAGAGGACAAGAAGGAAGAAGCGUUUUCGAGGGUUUCCAUUUGACAUAUAUGUAGUAUCCAAGUGGUCUUUGCUGUGAGGCUAGAAUUUGAGCUGUCUUGUUCACAAUUAGUGCUGCAACUCAAGAAAGCCCCCACUUGAAAGGAAGAGUAUGUGUGCUGAUCAGAGAGACCACCUCCAAGAAUAAAUAAAUAAUAAAACAAUUAUAUGUAUAAAAAAAGAGUUUCA